rnacentral:rRNA from 1 species
AGCUUGCUACCUGACCUAGCGGCGGACGGGUGAGUAAUGCUUAGGAAUCUGCCUAUUAGUGGGGGACAACAUUCCGAAAGGAAUGCUAAUACCGCAUACGCCCUACGGGGGAAAGCAGGGGAUCUUCGGACCUUGCGCUAAUAGAUGAGCCUAAGUCAGAUUAGCUAGUUGGUGGGGUAAAGGCCUACCAAGGCGACGAUCUGUAGCGGGUCUGAGAGGAUGAUCCGCCACACUGGGACUGAGACACGGCCCAGACUCCUACGGGAGGCAGCAGUGGGGAAUAUUGGACAAUGGGCGAAAGCCUGAUCCAGCCAUGCCGCGUGUGUGAAGAAGGCCUUUUGGUUGUAAAGCACUUUAAGCGAGGAGGAGGCUACUUGGAUUAAUACUCUAGGAUAGUGGACGUUACUCGCAGAAUAAGCACCGGCUAACUCUGUGCCAGCAGCCGCGGUAAUACAGAGGGUGCGAGCGUUAAUCGGAUUUACUGGGCGUAAAGCGUGCGUAGGCGGCUUCUUAAGUCGGAUGUGAAAUCCCUGAGCUUAACUUAGGAAUUGCAUUCGAUACUGGGAAGCUAGAGUAUGGGAGAGGAUGGUAGAAUUCCAGGUGUAGCGGUGAAAUGCGUAGAGAUCUGGAGGAAUACCGAUGGCGAAGGCAGCCAUCUGGCCUAAUACUGACGCUGAGGUACGAAAGCAUGGGGAGCAAACAGGAUUAGAUACCCUGGUAGUCCAUGCCGUAAACGAUGUCUACUAGCCGUUGGGGCCUUUGAGGCUUUAGUGGCGCAGCUAACGCGAUAAGUAGACCGCCUGGGGAGUACGGUCGCAAGACUAAAACUCAAAUGAAUUGACGGGGGCCCGCACAAGCGGUGGAGCAUGUGGUUUAAUUCGAUGCAACGCGAAGAACCUUACCUGGUCUUGACAUAGUAAGAACUUUCCAGAGAUGGAUUGGUGCCUUCGGGAACUUACAUACAGGUGCUGCAUGGCUGUCGUCAGCUCGUGUCGUGAGAUGUUGGGUUAAGUCCCGCAACGAGCGCAACCCUUUUCCUUAUUUGCCAGCGAGUAAUGUCGGGAACUUUAAGGAUACUGCCAGUGACAAACUGGAGGAAGGCGGGGACGACGUCAAGUCAUCAUGGCCCUUACGACCAGGGCUACACACGUGCUACAAUGGUCGGUACAAAGGGUUGCUACCUAGCGAUAGGAUGCUAAUCUCAAAAAGCCGAUCGUAGUCCGGAUUGGAGUCUGCAACUCG